rnacentral:misc_RNA from 1 species
GAUGAAGAACGCAGCGAAAUGCGAUAAGUAGUGUGAAUUGCAGAAUUCAGUGAAUCAUCGAAUCUUUGAACGCAGAUUGCGCCCCUUGGUAUUCCAUGGGGCAUGCCUGUUCGAGCGUCAUUUGUACCUUCAAGCUUUGCUUGGUGUUGGGUGUUUGUCUCGCCUUUGCGUGUAGACUCGCCUUAAAAUAAUUGGCAGCCGGCGUAUUGAUUUCGGAGCGCAGUACAUCUCGCGCUUUGCACUCAUAACGACAGCGUCCAAAAGUACAUUUUACACUCUUGACCUCGGAUCAGGUAGGGAUACCCGCUGAACUUAAGCAUAUCAAUAAGCGGAGGA